rnacentral:rRNA from 1 species
GACGAACGCUGGCGGCGCGCCUAACACAUGCCAGUCGAACGAGCGAGCGAGAGCUUGCUUUCUCAAGCGAGUGGCGAACGGGUGAGUAACGCGUGAGGAACCUGCCUCAAAGAGGGGGACAACAGUUGGAAACGACUGCUAAUACCGCAUAAGCCCACGACCCGGCAUCGGGUAGAGGGAAAAGGAGCAAUCCGCUUUGAGAUGGCCUCGCGUCCGAUUAGCUAGUUGGUGAGGUAACGGCCCACCAAGGCGACGAUCGGUAGCCGGACUGAGAGGUUGAACGGCCACAUUGGGACUGAGACAUGGCCCAGACUCCUACGGGAGGCAGCAGUGGGGAAUAUUGCACAAUGGGGGAAACCCUGAUGCAGCGACGCCGCGUGGAGGAAGAAGGUCUUCGGAUUGUAAACUCCUGUUGUUGAGGAAGAUAAUGACGGUACUCAACAAGGAAGUGACGGCUAACUACGUG